UACAGAGGUCCCAAGCGUUGUUCGGAGUUACUGGGCGUAAAGGGUGUGUAGGCGGUUGUUUAAGUUUGGUGUGAAAUCUCCCGGCUCAACUGGGAGGGUGCGCCGAAUACUGAAUGACUUCGAGUGCGGGAGAGGAAAGUGGAAUUCCUGGUGUAGCGGUGAAAUGCGUAGAUAUCAGGAGGAACACCGGUGGUGUAGACGGCUUUCUGGACCGUAACUGACGCUGAGACACGAAAGCGUGGGUAGCAAACAGG
rnacentral:rRNA from 1 species